ACGAACGCUGGCGGCGUGGAUAAGACAUGCAAGUCGAGCGCUAAUUCUGGGUGUGUAGCAAUACAUCAGAGUUGGAGCGGCCGCAAGGGUGCGUAACACGUGGGUAAUUUGCCGUAGAGUUGGGGAUAACUCGCUGAAAGGCGAGCUAAUACCGAAUGUGGUUUUUGGAAGGCAUCUUCCGACAACUGAAGCUGGGGACCGCAAGGCCUGGCGCUCUAUGAUAAGCCCGCGGCCUAUCAGCUAGUUGGUGAGGUAACGGCUCACCAAGGCUAAGACGGGUAGCUGGUCUGAGAGGACGACCAGCCACACUGGAACUGAGACACGGUCCAGACACCUACGGGUGGCAGCAGUCGAGAAUUUUUUCAAUGGGCGCAAGCCUGAAGGAGCGACGCCGCGUGGGGGAUGAAGGGUUUCGAUCCGUAAACCCCUGUCAUUUGUGAACAAUGGUUACGAUUGAACAUUUCGUAACUGUGAUAGUGAGAAUGGAAAGAGGAAGGGGCGGCUAACUCUGUGCAGCAGCCGCGGCUAAUACAGAGUCCCGAGCGUUGUUCGGAUUCACGGGGCGUAAAGGUGUGUAGGUGCCUAAAAAGUUUGAUGUGAAAGCUCAGGGCUUAACCCUGAAAUGGCAUUGAAUACUGUUGGGCUGGAGGUUUGGAGGGGGGACUGGAAUUCUUGGUGUAGCAGUGAAAUGCGUAGAUAUCAAGAGGAACACCAGUGGCGAAGCGCGAGUCCCUGGACAACACCGGACACUGAGGCACGAAAGCUAGGGGAGCAAACAGGAUUAGAUACCCUGGUAGUCUCUAGCCCUAACGGUGCGUGUUUUGCUGUAAACAGGAAUCGACCUCUUUUGUGGCGAAGCUAACGCGUUAAACACGCCGCCUGGGGAGUACGGUCGCAAGAUUAAAACUCAAAGAAAAUUGACGGGGGGCCUGCACAAGCGGUGCGAGUAAUGUGGCUUAAUUCGAUGCAACGCGAAGAACCUACCUGGCUUACAUCGCAAGUGGUAGAACCAGUAAAGUGGGACGAUCCCGCAAGGGAAGCUUGCACAGGUGCUGCAUGGCUGUCGUCCAAGCUCGUGUCUGAGAUUGGGUUAAGUCCCGCAACGAUCGCAACCCUUGUGUCCCUGUUGCCACCUCUUCGAGAGAAGAGGGACACUGCUGGACAGACUGCCCUCGCUUAAACGGGGAGGAAGGUGGGGAUGACGUCAAGUCAGUAUGGCCCUUACGGCCAGGCUGCACACGUACUACAAUGCCCGGUACAAAGGGAAGCAAGACCGUCAGGUGGAGCAAAUCCAGAAAACCGGGCCCAGUCAGAUUGCCGUCUGCAACUCGACGGCAUGAAGUUGGAAUCGCUAGUAAUGGCGCAUCAGCUACGGCGCCGUGAAUACGUUCCCGGGCCUUGUACACACCGCCCGUCACAUCACGAAAGUGGGUGUACUAGAAGUCGGUGAGCUAACCCGCAAGGGAGGCAGCCGACCAAGGUAUUACUCAUGAUUGGGGUG
rnacentral:rRNA from 1 species